UACGGGGGGGGCAAGCGUUGUUCGGACUUACUGGGCGUAAAGGGCUCGUAGGCGGCCAACUAAGUCGGACGUGAAAUCCCUCGGCUUAACUGGGGAACUGCGUCCGAUACUGGAUGGCUUGAGUUUGGGAGAGGGAUGCGGAAUUCCAGGUGUAGCGGUGAAAUGCGUAGAUAUCUGGAGGAACACCGGUGGCGAAGGCGGCAUCCUGGACCAAUACUGACGCUGAGGAGCGAAAGCCAGGGGAGCAAACGGG
rnacentral:rRNA from 1 species